rnacentral:rRNA from 1 species
AGGGAAGAAAUACUGACCAUAGGGUCAGCAGACGGUACUAGACUAAGAAGCCCCGGCUAACUACGUGCCAGCAGCCGCGGUAAUACGUAGGGGGCAAGCGUUAUCCGGAUUUACUGGGUGUAAAGGGAGCGUAGACGGCAGCGCAAGUCUGAAGUGAAAUGCCAGGGCUUAACCCUGGAACUGCUUUGGAAACUGUGCAGCUAGAGUGCAGGAGAGGUAAGUGGAAUUUCUAGUGUAGCGGUGAAAUGCGUAGAUAUUAGGAGGAACACCAGUGGCGAAGGCGGCUUACUGGACUGUAACUGACGUUGAGGCUCGAAAGCGUGGGGAGCAAACAGGAUUAGAUACCCUGGUAGUC